rnacentral:rRNA from 1 species
GACGAACGCUGGCGGCGUGCUUAACACAUGCAAGUCGAACGGAAAGGCCCUGCUUUUGUGGGGUUCUCGAGUGGCGAACGGGUGAGUAACACGUGAGUAACCUGCCCUUGACUUUGGGAUAACUUCAGGAAACUGGGGCUAAUACCGGAUAGGAGCUCCUGCUGCAUGGUGGGGGUUGGAAAGUUUCGGCGGUUGGGGAUGGACUCGCGGCUUAUGAGCUUGUUGGUGGGGUAGUGGCUUACCAAGGCUUUGACGGGUCGCCGGCCUGAGAGGGUGACCGGCCACAUUGGGACUGAGAUACGGCGCAGACUCCUACGGUAGGCAGAAGUGGGGAAUAUUGCACAAUGGGCGGAAGCCUGAUGCAGCAGCGCCGCGUGCGGGAUGACGGCCUGCGGGUUGUAAACCGCUUUCGCCUGUGACGAAGCGUGAGUGACGGUAAUGGGUAAAGAAGCACCGGCUAACUACGUG